UAAAAUUAUAAGAUAAAAGAAUAUUAUUGACACGAGAUGAAAUGAAAAUACAGUGAAGUUAAAUCAAUCAAACGACACGACAGCACCUGACAUCUGUUGAAAUCUGAAUUUAUUUAUAUAUUUAUAUUGAUGUGUAUAUAUAAUAUUUUUCUUUCUCCUUUUACGUUCCCCUCGUUCCUGUUUUUUCCCCCCUCUGUUCUUAUUUUCUUCAUUUUUCUUCUCCCAUCACACUAAUCUCAAUAAAAACAAGCAUAUCAUUCUGCAAUGAUGUCGUUCAUGAAAGAAUUCACGGCUUACGACCGCGAUCGACCGCCUUUUUCACGGUAGAUACAACCGUCGUUGGAUUCAGCCUCAGCAGCUCAGCCUGGGUUUCGUGAGGAGAUGUUGACCUAAAGAAAAACUCUGUUACCUGUGGAAUGGGCAUUUUCAUUUUGGGGAGUCUUUUCUUCCUUCUUUGGUUUUCGAAGCCGAUGCCCAAAACUUCUUCACUUCGCAAGGUACAUUAAAACCAAUUUAAUACUGCAGAGUACGUCACCAUUUUGAUUUUGAUUGGGGCUUUGUGCAAAACCGUGUGAAUUUGUGUAAGACAUAUGUCAAGUAAUAAGAGAUAUGUACGCUGGGAGUACGGAAAUAUUCAAUGAAAGUUGAUCCAA